UACGUAGGGGGCAAGCGUUGUCCGGAAUCAUUGGGCGUAAAGCGCGUGUAGGCGGUCCGGUAAGUCGGCUGUGAAAGUCCAGGGCUCAACCCUGGGAUGCCGGUCGAUACUGCCGGACUAGAGUUCGGGGAGAGGAUGGUGGAAUUCCCAGUGUAGAGGUGAAAUUCGUAGAUAUUGGGAAGAACACCGGUGGCGAAGGCGGCGACCUGGUCCGAUACUGACGCUGAGGCGCGAAAGCGUGGGGAGCAAACAGG
rnacentral:rRNA from 1 species